AUACAGUACUUUCCUGAAAAAAAUGCCUCAAUUCAAUUUUUGAUGCAAUCUCGCUGAAAUAACAUUCUGAGCGCCCUCUUGUGGUGGACAGCUGUUCAUGCACUUUUACAUCAUGGUGCUUCUAUCACCAAGACAAAACCAAACAAAAACCCCUGGAAAUAAAUUGAAUAUACCUUUUUUUUUUUUAAACAAUUUAAAUAGAAAUUUUCCAAAUUUGGCACCCAAACUUUUUGAUAAAAAACAACAAGAAAAAGUUUUUGGGAGUUUUUUUUUUGUUUGUUUGUUUGUUUUUAAUGGCUGUUCUGACGCUGUAUACUGCAACUUUAACAAUACUGGGCACUUCCUAUGUCAUUAUUGGGUUUUAUAUAAUGCUUGAAAUAUGUUUUCUUUUCUUUUUUUUAGGAACAAAUCAAACCCCUUUACUUUAAUUUGGUAUUUUAUAGAAAGACAUUACAAAUAAUGUUCUCACCCUCGAAUUAAUUGAAAAAGAAGCCCUUUAUCAGAACUUUUUUUUUAGCUGGGGAAAAAGCAUUUAGAAAAACCAUAAACUAUUUAUAUUGGAUUGUUACACCUAACCUUCAAUGUAUAAUUUAAAUUUGACUACAUGCUGCCUCACACUUCGAUUCAUUCGUGAAAUGCUUUUUCUUGUUAAAGUGGUUAUUGAGCCCUCUGUCUGUUUUGUAUUAACAGUUCAGCAGAUUAGGACAUAAAAUACAAGUUCAAUAAUAAAAUAAAGGGGUCUAAACCAUUGUUCCUUCACCUGUACCCUUUCCCACAUUCUGACGAAGGCAUUAUAUAAAAAGUGUUGAAUCACUCUUACUUUUUAGUACAGCAAAUAUUAAUGGUAAUUAAAUUGCUUUUGUUGAUAUUUAGAAAUUACACUGCUUGUCUGCAUUGAUAAGAACACAAGGGAAUUGUAAUAUUACAGUCAUACUAGACUUUUUCAUACUCGAUAGAGUUAUUUUGUUUUUGUUUUUCUUGGUAGUUUUUUUUAUAUAUUCAUAUUCCCCCUGUUACAUUAUCUCAAUAAUUAUGUUAUUUGUUUUUUUUCUCAGUGUUUUGCAUACUCCACAAGACAUAAUAAUGAGGACAUGUGCAAUAGAGAGUAUAUCAACAAGUGUAUUUCCAACCCUCUUUAUCUAUACAAAAUGCACAAAACAAAUACAGCUGUAUCUCUAAAUAGACUCUUAUUGCUUGUGUCACAGACCCUCGGUGAGCACUUAUGCUGAACUACAUUGUCUAACAUGAUGCAGUCCAGGAUCAGUGCUCAUCGGGUCUGUGACACAAGCAAUAAACGCAUGUUUAGUGAUACUGAUAAGAAGCGUUUGGUUUGCAGCGUUAAAGGCGUGGAGGUGAUAUUCUCACUGCACCAGAAGAAUAUUAAAUGCAGCACAGUCCUAUGCAUUUAAAAGUGUGCUAAUAAAGCAAACUAAAAGCAUGCAAAACUAAAAGCAAAUGUUAAAUCUCGAUCAUGCAACAACUGUGGGUUCAGGCAGAGUGUUCCUUUUUAUGUCCUUGCCCUUGGUUGAAAAACCAGGUAUAUCUUGCAAUCACUGGCCAGCUCGUGUGCACCGUACUCAAGGCACGCCAGAGCUAGACCGUGGUGAGAUCCACCUGCUAUUUGAUUAAAUGUCUGCUUUCUUGGCAUCAGAGUGGCACUGGGUACACCUUAAUUGACAAAAGUGAAGUCUUAACAACUGAGAGGCAACAGUUUCAUUCACCAUUGUGCUGGAAGUACACAGCAGGCCAGCCCUGAAACUGGUUUAACACACAAGACCAGCCAGAAAUAACAUGGUCAAAAAGCAACAUGAAUUACAAAAAGAGAAAAUCAGCAUACAGUUGUAAUGCUUCUGCACAUGGAGUCUAACUAGAUUAACCUUUAGAAUAUCAAUGCAGGUAUUUUUAAAAUUAAUUUAGUAAUUUAAUUCAGUAGCCUAGAGCACGUUUGACCAUUAGCAGUUGUAAAUUGGUCGUAGAUUUUUGUUAGGAGCGUGCACAUUUUGCCAUAGUUAGAUGUCUUGAAUUCAGCACACGUUACAGUCCCUGAACGUCACACUACUGCAUGCAUUACUGCAUUGGUGUUUUGAAAUACCAUUCCAGAAAGAAUCCACAGUGAAAUGAAUCGAGACUUUGAACUUUUAUUGGUCUGAUAAGAGUAUCAGUGGUUGUGCAAGAGACAAGGGUUCGAGAGUGUGUUGUGGUGGUUCGUGAGUUGGUUAUAAAUGAGAAAGUUAAAAAGAUGCAUUUUAAUAAUGAGGAAAUAAAGUUUUUGUCCUCUGUUGGGAGCGAGGGCUCUUAGCAGGGAUUCGCCUGGCUGAAGAGAGCUUGGCAAGUGCAAAGAAUGAGAGCGCUUUAAGAGGGACGCUGUGCGUCUGAAGGGUUAGCAGUGUUCACUCUCGCCUCCAGAAAUGUCGUGUGAGAGACAACAGGAUGUGUGUGUGUGUGCGUGUCUGAGGGACUAUUGGAGGGGGAAUUAAGAGUGAGGGGGAAUUUGCAGGUAAUUAAUUUUUGUUGAAGGAAAAAGGUAAAAUGUAGAAAGAAUUGAGAAAGAAAGAAAAGAAUGUUUAAAAGAAUACUAGUCUUGGAUUUAAAACAAUGUGGUUGAAUAGUGUUUAAUGCUGAACAAUGGUUAGUCAACAUGUUAGUUUGACACACACAGUACCUUUCAUUGAGUAAACUAGUACAUGCUUGCCAUUGUCAGAUGGCUCUAGACAUCUUAUUAAAAUGAGACAAUCACACCAGAAAUUCACUUGGCUAGCUAUUUCAAGUGUUAACUGCUUGCCAUUUUGAUGCUGUAGAUAGUUCCCCAGUUUGGCAAUACAAAGGUAGUGUGCAUUUUAUAAUAGACGCCAUGCUGCUUACACAAAAUAGACGACUCUUAAUAUCUUUUUAAAAAAAGAAGGACAUGCCCAGCACUCAGGUGUCGUCAUACAGGAAGUGUGAUAUUCUGUUCCAUAGUGGACACCUUACUCUGCUAUACUGCAGGAGCAGGAAACCAUUCCGUCUCAAUGUUCAACUGAGGCCUCCACCUGUAAGACUUCAUCAAAAUGCUUUCAUUGUCAAGGUUGUCUUCUCCCAGUCUGUCCCCUCUGUAAGGUUGUCUUCUCCCAGUCUGUCCCCUCUGUAAGGUUGUCUGCUCCCAGUCUGUCCCCUCUGUAAGGUUGUCUUCUCCCAGUCUGUCCCUUCUGUAAGGUUGUCUUCUCCCAGUCUGUCCCCUCUGUAAGAUUGUCUUCUCCCAGUCUGUCCCCUCUGUAAGGUUAUCUUCUCCCAGUCUGUCAGCUUAGUAAAGUUGUCUGCUCCCAGUCUGUCUGCUCUGUAAGGUUGUCUUCUCCCAGUCUAUCCGCUCUGUAAGGUUGUCUUCUCCCAGUCUAUCCCCUCUGUAAGGUUGUCUGCUCCCAGUCUGUCAGCUCUGAAUUGCUUAUAUACUUUUAACAUUUUUGUUUUGUUUUGUUUUGAAUUCUUUUUAUAUGUUGCUGAAUGUUUACAUUGUAUCUUGCAUUGCCCUAAAGAAAACCACAAUAAAAUGUAUACUAUUGUUCUCCCA